rnacentral:rRNA from 1 species
UACGUAGGGUGCGAGCGUUAAUCGGAAUUACUGGGCGUAAAGCGUGCGCAGGCGGUUCGUUGUGUCUGAUGUGAAAGCCCCGGGCUCAACCUGGGAACUGCAUUGGAAACUAGCGGGCUGGAGUGUGGCAGAGGGGGGUGGAAUUCCACGUGUAGCAGUGAAAUGCGUAGAGAUGUGGAGGAACACCGAUGGCGAAGGCAGCCCCCUGGGCUAACACUGACGCUCAUGCACGAAAGCGUGGGGAGCAAACAGG